rnacentral:rRNA from 1 species
UGAGAGUUCAAGAGGGCGUGAAACCGCUUAGAAGCAAACAGAUGGAACUGAUGAAGAGUCGGUGGAAUUCAGUACUUUGAGUCACCUCGUGCCAGCGGCAGAUGUUUCACUGCUUGUUGGUAACUGACUGUGGCCAAGGGAUGCAUUUUUUGCCGAUGUGCACUGGAAGCUGUGCUUGUGCUGGAGAAAAGCCGGUGAAUGUGGGCCAUAGCUGAUGGUGUCUCUUCAUGGGCAAAAGCCAGGUUACGAGUACAGUUACAAGGACACCCGCCUCUACGCUGGUGCAUUGGGAGUUUUGCUGAGACUGUGCUGAUUCUUGCUUGCAAGAUUUGGCUAUUUGAGCAUUGUGAACAGUGUUGCCAGCGUUGGUGUUUUUCUGGUGUUUCUGUCAGUCACCCAUCUGACCCGUCUUGAAACACGGACCAAGGAGUCUAACAUGUGCGCGAGUCAUUGGGUUGCAAAACUCACAGGCGCAAUGAAAGUAAAGUCUAGUUCGGCUGGAUGAUAUGGGACCCUUUGUUCGCAGAGGUGCACCAUAGUCCCGUCUAUUCUGCUUUGUCAGAUGGGCGGAGAUUGAGCGUACAUGCUGGGACCCGAAAGAUGGUGAACUAUGCCUGAGCAGGAUGAAGCCAGAGGAAACUCUGGUGGAGGUCCAUAGCGAUUCUGACGUGCA